rnacentral:rRNA from 1 species
AUUGAACGCUGGCGGAAUGCUUUACACAUGCAAGUCGAACGGCAGCACGGACUUCGGUCUGGUGGCGAGUGGCGAACGGGUGAGUAAUGUAUCGGAACGUGCCCAGUCCUGGGGGAUAACGUAGUGAAAAUUACGCUAAUACCGCAUACGAUUUAUGAAUGAAAGCGGGGGAUCGCAAGACCUCGCGCGAUUGGAGCGGCCGAUAUCAGAUUAGGUAGUUGGUGGGGUAAAGGCCCACCAAGCCAACGAUCUGUAGCUGGUCUGAGAGGACGACCAGCCACACUGGAACUGAGACACGGUCCAGACUCCUACGGGAGGCAGCAGUGGGGAAUUUUGGACAAUGGGCGAAAGCCUGAUCCAGCCAUUCCGCGUGCAGGAUGAAGGCCCUCGGGUUGUAAACUGCUUUUGUACAGAACGAAAAGGUUUCUACUAAUACUAGGAGCUCAUGACGGUACUGUAAGAAUAAGCACCGGCUAACUACGUGCCAGCCGCCGCAGUAA